UCCCUGGUGGUCUAGUGGCUAGGAUUCAGUGCUUUCACCACUGUGGCCUAGGAUCGAUUCCUGGCCAGGGAA
rnacentral:tRNA from 1 species